rnacentral:misc_RNA from 1 species
UUGAGUUGAGUUGAGUAUUGUAUAAAUUGAUAAUAAGUAGUGAACAGAGUUGAAAGCACAGGCUUAGUCUACGAUACAUGUGUGAACAGAGUUUAUAUAAGAUUUUCUCUUUAAUAUAGCCUCUUUUUUCCUUAAUUUCGCUUCUACGAGGUUAGCAAAGCAUAAUCAGUUUCAAGUUUGGAAAAUAGGAAGAGGGUUGUGACAGGUUGAUGAUCAGCAUAAAACUCGGUUAAUCUUAAAUAGAGCUGAAUGGCAAGAUCAUUAAGAUUUCGUUGAAGGUCAAUGAAGAAAGGAUGAAAAAAUAAAUAAAUAACAUUUUAUACCUUUGAAUAUAUUGUGAAAUGGACAAUUGAUGAAAUAGCCAAUACUUUAAAAUCAAUCAAUUAACAAACACUUGUAAUAUAAUUAUGGUAGGCUUAGAAUUUAGGAAGUACGGUAGAAGAAA